GCUGGGCAUGGUGGCAAAUGCCUGUAAUCUCAGCAGCUCAGGAGGCUGAGGCAGGAGGAUUGUGAAUUCAAAGCCAGCCUCAGCAAUUUAGUGAGGCCCUAAGCAACUUAUGAGACCCUGUCUCAA
rnacentral:sRNA from 1 species